CCUGCUGAUAAGUAGCUUAUGACUUUUGUUCUAAAUUUGCUGGAGCCAGAUGUUGUUCCUGAGAAGU
rnacentral:snoRNA from 1 species